CCUACGGGUGGCUGCAGUGGGGAAUAUUGCACAAUGGGCGCAAGCCUGAUGCAGCCAUGCCGCGUGUGUGAAGAAGGCCUUCGGGUUGUAAAGCACUUUCAGCGGGGAGGAAGGCGGUGAGGUUAAUAACCUCAUCGAUUGACGUUACCCGCCGAAGAAGCACCGGCUAACUCCGUGCCAGCAGCCGCGGUAAUACGGAGGGUGCAAGCGUUAAUCGGAAUUACUGGGCGUAAAGCGCACGCAGGCGGUCUGUCAAGUCGGAUGUGAAAUCCCCGGGCUCAACCUGGGAACUGCAUUCGAAACUGGCAGUCUAGAGUCUUGUAGAGGGGGGUAGAAUUCCAGGUGUAGCGGUGAAAUGCGUAGAGAUCUGGAGGAAUACCGGUGGCGAAGGCGGCCCCCUGGACAAAGACUGACGCUCAGGUGCGAAAGCGUGGGGAGCAAACAGGAUUAGAUACCCGUGUAGUC
rnacentral:rRNA from 1 species